AUGGAGACAUCAGAGCGCCAUGGUUCUCAAGAUCAAAAUGGAGAAGUGGCUGAGGGUACUGAUACUGAUGAGGAGGAUGACUUUGAUUGGGCGGCGGGAGAAUCGUCACGGAGCGACUGGGGAGAGAAGUACCCAACAUCGGUUGGGCUGUAUCAUGUAGAGCCUUCCGAGCAUGACAUUUCAAAAUUCUAUGUAGGCAUGGUAGGCUGUGGCGAGUGGCGACAAUGUUCUAGAGAAGUAAGAAUGACAAGAGUAGAACCGUCCCGUGGCAUGUAUUUUCUACUGUUUGGCUGUCCUUGCCAUGUGAUUCUGAAAUCCGUAAAUUUAUACAGGAAGUGGUUCAAGCACUAUCAUCCGAGACUAGCUGUGGCGUCUGGCCAGGACCUGAAGGACGAGCUAACUCCUUGUGGCGAGCUGACACUGAAUCUGUGGACAUGCAUACAAAGGAUGCUAAGCAAGAAGGAUAAGAUCAUGUACAAGGGGUGGCUAGACAGAUUCAGAGGCUUCUUUGAUCCCCGUUUUGUGGGACGAUGA
rnacentral:rRNA from 1 species